AUAGUUGGUCAAGCAAAUCUUGUCAGUAGAAAAACGCGGCAAAUUUGAAAAAUCGCGGGCUAGCAACACUGUGUUCGAAUAAUUCCAAAAUCGCGUGUAAUCUGUGUUUUAUCUGUAGAAUGUGGAUCGUCCAUCUUGUUUGUUUACAUUCCGAAUCGGUGCUAAUUCAAGAGAAAUUUCUGCUCCCAGCAUUAAAAUAAAUAUCAAUAUAUUAAAUAAUAUUGUGCAUGACCAUAAGCAAAGUCAAGAUGCCUACAAUGGUUAAAAGGCUUAAAUAAAGAUAAAACGUAUGCCUAAAUAUAUCCAAUAAGACCACGAAUUGUGCCCUCGAAACCGCAACUGAUUCGAUUGUUCCCAAUAUCAACAGACGAAGUCCUCAAAUAUUUUCAAAGGAUUAAAACUCGCCCAAUAUAAGGCGUUCGUAAAAGUUUCUCUUCAUACAAAACUUACCUACGGCGGUUUACGUACAUACGUGUACAACGCAAACAAGACGAAAAAUAAACUUGUUAAUUAAAAAAACUAAAAAAAUUGGGACAAUAGUUUAGAUUAUUAUUGUAAAAGUUGUCCGUUUGUUAAUCAUCACGAAAAUAUAUUAUUUAGGCUGAUUUGUUUCAUGCACUCAGCUAUUGCACAUGUAUACCUAUGGAAAAUCCUAGUUUAUACUUUCUGAAGUCGGUAUGUACCUAUUUAAAAGAAGUUUUAAGUCGCUUUACCUGUUUGUUCAAUAAAUUAAAAUAAUUUAUUCAGUGUGCAUAAUUUUAGAAAAAUAUUUUAACAUUUAAAUCAUACCUUCUUUUAUCCAGAAACAAUAUAACUCCAUAUUACUCACAUGAGUGGAAGUUGUUAAGUUUCCAUUGUCAAGGUAUCUUUUAUUAAUAUUUUGAGUACCUGAAAUUGUGUCAGUUCCUGACAAGUCUUGAAUAGACUAAUGUGAAAGUUAAUAAAAUUUCUUAACAGCAUUCUCCUGAUAUCUAAAUGACUUUUUUAAAUAUCUACAUAUAAAAUAUGAUCUAGCCAAUACAUGUAAAUAUCUAACAUUUUUAGCCUGUAUAAAAACAGUAGUGUGAGCAAAACCUUACCAAGCUAGCAUGUAAGAGUGGUCUCAGAGAUAUUGGAAUAUCUCUGUACUAUAAAUUAGGCAAAUUGCUUUAGACUAAGUUUUAUGUGUAACUACUACUAUAAGAAUACAUUUUGAAACUUGGAAUGGAAACUUUAAACUUGAAAUUACAAAUUUUCAAACAGAUCUGUUUUAUGCUUAAGAUGCAAUAAGUGACUAGGUACAAAGUAUUCUGAUGCUUGGUUGGAGUGGACCAGUAACAUUGGUAACUUAAUGAUAUUUUUUCAAUGAAUGGCCUGAAUUAAGUGUAAGUAAGCUAAAGUGACCCGUAUCUUAAUUACCUUGAAAUUAAAUGAACACCAAAAUAUCUGCAGUUGUGUUUUAUUUAUUUUUAAUCUGUAUAUUUAUAUAAAUAUAUUGUAAAACCAUUUCAAAAUUACACUGGUAUGUGAAUGUGACAUUGUUCAAGAGAAAUACACUAAUUUACAAUUAACAA